GGGGGCGACCUGGCUUCGACGUGGGUUGCAAAACCAGAGGUGCAUGCCGAGAAUGAGAUCUCUCGUAAAACAGGCUCAAUUAAAUAUAAAUGCAAAUGAUGCAAUCUUCGCUGAUGACGUUGAUGGAGCAAUUGCUGCUUAAUCAAAGUCAAAGCAACGUGUACUGGCCUUAAACCCAGUGCCCCGUUGACCGAGCUCGCUUAUCGGUAUCGAAUCGACGGUCAUAGAAGAUAAGCUAGUGUCCUAAUCCAUCCCGGGUUAAGAUGCGAAACUUAGGGAAUCGCUGUGUCUAAUCCUGCCCGUCGGAGGAGCCACAGUUAAAUUAAGUAGACAAGGCUACGCAUGUAGAUCCAAAGGCAGAGGGCUUGCGGACGCGGGUUCAAUUCCCGCCGCCUCCACCA
rnacentral:tmRNA from 1 species